AACCCAUGAUUAGGGCAUUUCCUCAACAAGGAUUUAAAAUGCUCCUAAGCUUCACAAAAAGAUUCAUCAGCCCCAUGUCGAAACACUAAAAUGUCAGAUUUGACAGU